rnacentral:lncRNA from 1 species
ACUCAGAGACACAAGUAGCAGCUGAAGUGUCUGGUGAAUCUCCUGACAGAUUCCCAAGGGCUGGGAGGCACAAAAAUGAAAUGGGAGACUGCUCUCUGGAUGGUUGCCUGCUUACUGCUUGCAUCUCUGCCCAGAGGUAAAUAUUCCAUAGUGCACACCUAGGAAUGUGCAGAGGCAUUUACAUGCAAACACACAAGCUGCAAGCAGAAUCUUGGAGCAAAAC